ACACGACUACAUUAGAUACCCGGGUAGUCCUAGCCGUAAACGAUACUCGCUAGGUGUCGGCCACGGUGCGACCGUUGUCGGUGCCGUAGGGAAGCCGUGAAGCGAGCCACCUGGGGAGUACGGCCGCAAGGCUGAAACUUAAAGGAAUUGGCGGGGGAGCACAACAACGGGUGGAGCUUGCGGUUUAAUUGGAUUCAACGCCGGAAAUCUUACCGGGACCGACAGCAACAUGAAGGCCAAGCUGAAGACUUUGCCGGAUUAGCUG
rnacentral:rRNA from 1 species